AUUGAACGCUGGUGGCAUGCUUAACACAUGCAAGUUGCACGGCAGCAUGAUCUUGCUUGCAAGAUUGAUGGCGAGUAGCGGACGGGUGAGUAAAGCAUAGGGAUCUACCCUAAAGUGGGGGACAACGGAGGGAAACUUUCGCUAAUACCGCAUAAUACCUGUGGGUUAAAGUCUGCUUAGGCAGGCGCUUUAGGAUGAACCUAUGUCAGAUUAGCUAGAUGGUGGGGUAAAGGCCUACCAUGGCGACGAUCUGUAGCUUGUUCUGAGAGGAAGAUCAGCCACACGUGGGACUGAGACACGGCCCAGACCUCCGUACGGGAGCAGCAGGU
rnacentral:rRNA from 1 species